GUUGUUGUUUGGUAUCUUCUUAUUGUCACAGCUUGGCGGUAGUUUUGGUUAGCACAUUUUAUCAAUUAUGCUUGGGCUUGGGGAAGCACAGGCUUUUUGGACUAUUUGAAUUCUGGAGUUACUUAUCUCUAUAGCAAGCAGUCACCCCGUCAAUUAAUACUUAAGCUGGCAAAGUUUAUUAAUGUCGUUGGCCUAUCCACUUUAAUAUAGUUGUCUUGUCUUUAGUAAUAACGGGACUUAGUGGGUGAUGGUUAGUAAUGGUUAGUUACAGGAUCAUUUGUCAUUUGCCCGACGCCCC